rnacentral:rRNA from 1 species
GACGUAGGGCGCGAGCGUUGUCCGGAUUUAUUGGGCGUAAAGAGCUCGUAGGCGGCUUGUCGCGUCGACUGUGAAAUCUCAGGGCUCAACUCUGACAUUGCAGUCGAUACGGGCAGGCUAGAGUUCGGUAGGGGAGACUGGAAUUCCUGGUGUAGCGGUGAAAUGCGCAGAUAUCAGGAAGAACACCCGUGGCUAAGGCGGCUCUCUAGUACGGUACUGACGCUGAGACGCGAAAGCGUGGGGAGCGAACAGG